rnacentral:hammerhead_ribozyme from 1 species
AUCUGAUGGGUGCCAAACAGGACGAAACGCGCGUCCUAGAU